AUUCUCUCUCUCCCUCUGCCCCUCCCUUGCUCAAGCACUCGUACGUGCGCGCGCGCGCUCUCUCUCUCUCUCUCUCUCUCUCUGUCUGAAAAAGAAAAAAUUCUGGGACAUUAAAACUGAAACUGAGCCUGUGACUCCCUAUCUUGGAGCUCCGUCUGCAGGGAAGGGCUGAUGGUGUCAUGUGGGCUUGUUCUGGGGCUCAAGCCCCAAGUGAGAGGGAAGAGCUCAGGGUUCACUGGGUAUGGUGUGUGUGUGUGUGUUGUGUGAGAGAGAGAGAGAGAGAGACAGAGACAGAGACAGAGAGACGGAGACACAGACAGACAGAGACAGAGAGAACUCCUCCUCUCAUACUUUUAGGAAAACUUAGGUUCCCAGAAGAUCCUGGAGGCACAUCAGUGAGCACCUCCUCCUUGUCUGGAGCUUUCCCAUAAGAAAGCCAAGAACAAACAGCAUUAACAGUCCUGUAAACAUCAUCUGGGCCAACGACUUCAUUAUAUAGGUUUGGAAACUGAGGGCCGGAAUGGACCCCAGGCUACUUACAGUCAUACAGUGCACUCUUUUUAGUGAGUUGUUCAAACUCUGGCCCAGAGGCCGGCAUAGAUCCACCCCCCCUCCUUAGAGUCUGCCCACCUCCCAGCCAACAGUCAUUUGGCUCUUACGCAGGGGCAUAGGUGGUGGCGUUUUUGAUUCCUUCCCAGGGCUCUGGAGGCUCUGGGGCAGCAAACCUGCGGACACCCACAGGCGGUCUGGAGAAGGGCACUCCUAGGAAGACAUUGAUGGAUGUCUUCCCGACGUGCAUCUGUUUUCCUUGGAGGGUCCCAUAUUUGGUAAUCACUAGAGGUUCCUUGGUGUGCUGAGCACCUAGGAAGAGAGGAGAAGGGUCACUCUGGCCACUGAAAAGACUCUGGCCUGUCUGCCAUGGCACCAGUUGCAGCUUGAAGCUUUUCACAAUUGUGUAUUUUGCCUACCUUUUCUGUGUUUCUCUCAGUAUUUUUCUCUCUCAUUAUUUAAGGUUUCAAUGCUAUGUUGGUAGGUGCAUAAAGGUUCAUGUCUAUUAUAUGAAUUAUUUUUCUGUCAUUUAAUGUAUCACUUAAUGUCAAUAAUCAUGUCAUUUAUUUUGA